rnacentral:rRNA from 1 species
UACAGAGGUCCCAAGCGUUGUUCGGAUUCAUUGGGCGUAAAGGGUGCGUAGGCGGCGCGGUAAGUCGGGUGUGAAAUCUCGGGGCUUAACUCCGAAACUGCAUUCGAUACUGCCGUGCUUGAGGACUGGAGAGGAGACUGGAAUUUACGGUGUAGCGGUGAAAUGCGCAGAUAUCAGGAGGAACACCAAUGGCGAAGGCAGGUCUCUGGGCCACAACUGACGCUGAGGAGCGAAAGCAUGGGGAGCGAACAGG